UACAGAGGCCCCGAGCGUUACCCGGAUUUACUGGGCAUAAAGGGUGCGUAGGCGGUUGUGUUAGUCUCCCGUUAAAUCAUUGGGCUCAACCCAAUAAUCGCGGGGGAAACGGCACGACUCGAGGGUGCGAGAGGUGAAUGGAACUCAUGGUGUAGGGGUGAAAUCCGUUGAUAUCAUGGGGAACACCAAAAGCGAAGGCAAUUCACUGGCGCACAUCUGACGCUGAGGCACGAAAGCGUGGGUAUCGAACGGG
rnacentral:misc_RNA from 1 species